AGCACUGGCUGAGACACCUAAAUGGAACAGAGCCGCCGCUAAUGUUAUUAGUUACACCUGUGCUCUCCCUGCUCCCACCCAGACGAGGAGUAACUUUCUGAGUGAUUUGAGCCAACCAGUAAGAGAUUUAAUACGUACCUUGGUCUCAUUGGAUUUGACCAGGACUUUGCUGAUUUUGAAGUGCAGCACCUCAUUAUCCCAUCGACAGAUUCCACAGUGUACUUCAUAAUGUGUGUGUUUACCUCUCUGGGUAUGUGUCCAUGGUACCAGCCAUGGCUCCUGAUGUCAGCAGCGCUCAGUUUCAGCUCCUCCUCCAGCUCCUUCCGAAGUUUCUCAGGAGGAGACUCCAGCAGGACUAGAGUGCGACCUGCCUCCUCCCCAUUGUACCCUGGGUCUUCAUCAGCUGACCGCCCCCUUGGCCCCCUUUGGUCUCCUGUGCUCCUUCAUCACCACCACCAGUGUCUAGACUCCAUCGGGGGAUAUGUCUGGGU